rnacentral:lncRNA from 1 species
AAAUAAAUGGUGAUACAAGCAUGAUCAUGGAAGUGAUAAUAUCUAAUUAAUCGACUAAACAUAUUGAAUCAACUAAACAAAUAAUCAAACAAAUUCACUUAGCAAUUAAAAACAAUUAAUUAAUUAUAUUCUAAUUAACUAAUCAAUUAGACAAAUAAAAAAUUAAUUAAAUAUUAAUUUAAAUAAUUAAACUAAUAAAAAAUAAUAUUAAAAAAAACAAAAAAAAAUACAAGAGGGAUACAUGUAGUAAAUGCGAUGUAUUAAAUGUAGGUAAUAGGUUUAACCAAAGAAAUAACUCAUCCCACCAUCAACAAAUACUAACCUUAUUUUAAAUAAUAAAAAGUACAUAUAAUAAAUUAAUAAAAAAUAAAAUUAAAAUAAAAAUUCACAUGUGGGGAACCGCCCCUUCUAUUUUUAUGAGAAUUAAAUUGAUUAAUUGUAAAAACAAAAAAAACAAAAAUUUGAAAAAGUCAAACUUAAAAUUUUAAUCUACAAUUUCUAAACAUGAAAUAUUGUCACACACUCCUUUUCUCUAUUUUUUUUUUAAAUCUAACACCCAAUAUUAUGGAAAAACAUGACAGAUCAAUUAAAUAAAAAAAGAAAUAGAAUAAAAAAGACCAAAAAAGUAAAAAUAAAAUAAAUGAAAAUAAAAACCCAAAAAGCAUAUCUCUUUUCUCUCCAUCGUGUUCUCUCUCGGUAUCUUCUCAUCUCAAAAUCACUUCCUUUUCAUCCAACUCCAAUUUCAUAAGAAAGAAAGACAAUAUUCUUAAUCACUCAAAUGCAAAUAUCAACUUAAAUAUUAGAUAAAAUAGAAAAACAAUCAAACACCUCCUUAGAUGCAAAACAACUAAGAACAAAGAAAACAAAGUGGUAUAUACCGAAAAUGGAAAACGAUGGUGGUAUGUUGUGGUGACGGUCUGAUUCACCGUGACAUUGUAGGGGCUGCUCCGGUGGUUGUGAUGUGCGCAGCAUCGAGAGUAUGGUCAGCGGAAUCGUGGGUGUUCGUGCGGCAUAUCUUCUUCAUCUUUAUUUCUUUUUUAUGCUUUGAUGGUUGUGGGUGUUGUUAAUGAUUGUGGUUAGGGGUGGCAAUUGGAUCCAUUAAGAGAAAAUUCAUCCAAUCCAUCCAUCAAAA